rnacentral:misc_RNA from 1 species
AGCUGACAGAAAGAAGCUUAAACGAACCGUUAAAGAUAGAUUUCCUCGCGCUUCUGACGCCGAUAUGGAUAAUUUACUCCCUCCCAAAGCUGAGAUAACUGUUUCAAAGUUUCAAAAUCGUGUCCAUGUAUUUGGUGUUGAAGGUGGCUUUCCUAUGUUUUUCGAUGUAGAUGGGCGAGGCAAUGAAAUUUUUCCCACAGUAUUUGCUCUCUGGAAGGUCCCUGAAUUGUUGCCUUCUUUUAUGCUUAAAGGCGGUGAGGUCUCUAGGUUUGUCAUUGGAGGGGCAGAUUUGAUGUUCCCUGGUAUAAAUAUACCUGCUGAAGGCCUACCUUCUUUUUCAUCUGGGGAACCAUGGGCAGUAAAAGUACCUGGCAAUCCAGCACCAAUUGCAGUUGGAUCUACUACUAUGAGCAGCACUGACGCCGUAAAAGCUGGAUUUCGUGGAAAGGCCUUAAGGAUAACUCAUUAUUACCGGGACUUACUUUGGGAGUCAGUUGAGGGCCAUUAUGUGCCAAAUGCAGGUUUCUUGGAAGAUGCUGUCUUUGAGGAUCCUGCUUCCACAUCAUCAGUUCAUAGUUCUGAUGAGUGUCAAGCUACUAGUGAUGCUUCAUAUGAGCAGCAGAAUGAGGUUGAGAGCAAAGAAAUUGGGGAAUCUGCUGAUAUGAAUGAUGUUAUAUCAGAACCUUAUCCCUCUCUAAUUGCGGAACUUGAUUGUAAAAAUGAUAUUGUAGAACAAGUCACUGCAGAUGCAAGUAAUUUGAAUGUAACAGAUAAUGUUGCAGCUGAUGAAUCAGCUACUGAGGAGCAGUACACAUUGUCAACUGCAGACGUGGAUGCUUAUUUGGAUAAAUGCCUGUUGCAAGCCCUGCAUACAACUGUUAAGGACAAAGAUCUUCCAAUGCCUGGUAGCACUUUAUGGUCCAAUCAUGUUUUACCUUGUAGGCCAUCUGGCAUCAUGCUAGAUAUCAAGAAGUCAUCCCACAAGAAAUUGUCAAAGUGGUUACAAUCUAAAUCAUCUGCAGCAUUGAUUUCAGUAAAGGAAGACAAAUAUAAAAAGGAGACUGUAUUAGUUUCCGUUAACCGCAGUCACCCAGAUUUCUUAUCCUUCAAGCCAGAGAAGAGGCAGGAACAAAAAAUUGAUCAGGCUGCUGACCAAGCUACUACCAGUGAAAGUCGGCUAAAAAAAAUGCUUGAAGUGGUGGAGAUCUACAAACCAAGUGUGCAUGUCAAUCCCAUUUUUGCUUCUGUUGGUGCUGAUACAGGGAAACUUUACAGUGCUUCAGAAGCUUCUGAUAUAGUAUGCAAGUAUAUUGAGAAAGAAAAUCUAGUCAAGCCAACAAAUAAGGCCUUCGUAGUUUUAGAUCCAACACUAUGUGAUGCUUUGUUCAAGGGAACAAUUAAGAAAGGAUCAACAUACCCUACAGAGAUUCAUAAGAAAGAUCUAGGAUUGACAUUUGUAAGCCGGAUGCAAGCCCAUUACGUUGUGACCAGGGGAAGUGAGUCUGUUGUUCGUAAAGGUUCAUUAAAGACAAUUCAAAUUGUAACAGAAAGGCGUCAAGGUAACAAGAAGGUGACAAAAGUCUCAGGUGUAGAAACAUUCUUGAUGGAUGCUGAAGCAUUGGCGUCAGAGCUGCAGAAAAAAUUUGCUUGCAGUACGUCAGUGCAAGAGCUACCAGGCAAGAAAGGGCAUGAGGUUCUCAUUCAAGGUGGUGUGAUUGAUGAUGUAGCACGGCAUCUGGUUGAACAGUAUGGGGUUCCAAAGAGAUAUAUUGAGGUUCUUGAUAAAACCAAGAAAUGAGAAGUGUACCUAAUGGUGGGGUAUUCACGAGGUUUGAAGGGUGCAAUUGCUUAACUACAACUUACAGCCUCAUGAGCCAAAUUGGUGCAUUGAAGUUUUGAUCAAUCCCAGAAAUAAAAUGCUCAAGGAAGCUCAGAAUUGAGGUUAUAAGUGCAUAAAGCUUUUUUGCAAAAAUGUCCCAACAGUUUAAGUUUGAGAAAAUGGUCUGUUUGAGCUGACUGCGGAACUUGUACAUCUAUUUAUUAUGAUCCUUUUGUUUCACCAAACCGAUGUAAAUUUUCAUUCUAAAUGCACUGGUUUCCUAUAACUACAGGUUUUGCUUUCUUC